rnacentral:rRNA from 1 species
UACGGAGGGUGCAAGCGUUAUCCGGAUUCACUGGGCUUAAAGGGUGCGUAGGCGGGUAGGUAAGUCAGUGGUGAAAUCUCCGGGCUUAACCCGGAAACUGCCGUUGAUACUAUCUGUCUUGAAUAUCGUGGAGGUAAGCGGAAUAUGUCAUGUAGCGGUGAAAUGCUUAGAUAUGACAUAGAACACCCAUUGCGAAGGCAGCUUACUACACGAUCAUUGACGCUGAGGCACGAAAGCGUGGGGAGCAAACAGG